rnacentral:rRNA from 1 species
CGGGACGGUUAGUAACACGUGGAUAACCUACCUAUAAGACUGGGAUAACUUCGGGAAACCGGAGCUAAUACCGGAUAAUAUAUUGAACCGCAUGGUUCAAUAGUGAAAGACGGUUUUGCUGUCACUUAUAGAUGGAUCCGCGCUGCAUUAGCUAGUUGGUAAGGUAACGGCUUACCAAGGCAACGAUGCGUAGCCGACCUGAGAGGGUGAUCGGCCACACUGGAACUGAGACACGGUCCAGACUCCUACGGGAGGCAGCAGCG